rnacentral:lncRNA from 1 species
GCCAUUUUUCUGCAAUGGAAUUAAAUGGCCAAAGCAGUAAACAGUCCUCAGCGAAGCCGCCUUUUUGCCUACCCAACCCUGGAAAGUUUGCAGAAGUGGAAGGAGCAGAACGUGAGGGUGUAACUUACAAAAAGGUUCUGGGCCGGAGAAGGGGCGACGUUCGGGCACCCCCCGAAUGGACAAUCUUUCCUUCUGUCGACGGCAGGGGCAGGCCUAGUUUGACUCUGACAGUCCUCCCACUAAGGAAUUCCUGGUGACUGGAAGGGGAGUGACUUGGGUCCUCAACCUCUAGCAGGUAAGGGAGCUGCCUUCUGGGUGGGCAUGCCCAGUUCCUCAGUGGGCCCAGUGCAGCCCAGCCUCCGAGGAAGCUCUGAGCAGCUGGCUUGGCUCCGAGGUAUUUUUAGCUACAGAUCCAGCCCCCCUCCAUCACCACAACAGUCGAGUCCAAAUCAAACGUGCUCCAGGCAGGUGGGGCUGGGGUUCUGCCAGCCUCCUGGCCAGCAGGGGUGGGUGGGCAGACUGGGGCCAGUAUCAGCUGUUCUGCCUGGACCCAGGCUGGGCUGGGAAGGCACAUUUGUGCUCAUUUCCCGCCUCCAUUUCUGUGCAAGCUUGUGCUGUCAUAAGUAGAGAUCACAGCCCCAUUUCUUGGAUGGAGAAAGUGGACACUGAGGUCUGAGGCUUUUGAGGACAGUCAGGAGCCCUCCUAUGGGCUCCAGUGAUGCACUCACCAGCUUCUGGUCUUCUUCCACCUCUUAGAGUGCCUUGGCUCCCUCCUGUGGUCCUGGGGAACCUCGGCCCCAGCCCUGCCUCCCCAGCCAGUCACAGCUCCUCCCUGGUCACCCUGAGGGAGCUCAGGGCCUGGCUGGUGGCUGGGCUCGUCUCCUUCUGUCCCCCACUCCUGUGGAGCCUGGCAGGCAACUCCAUGAUCUGACCCCGGUUACCUUGACAGCUCUGCCUGGCCUCCCUCUCAUGGCCCAGCCAUCCCAGAACCUGAAGAGGUUUUCUACUUGCCGUGCCUUUGCCAGGCCGGGUUACCCACCCUACCUUCCCUGCCUGCCCUCCAGUGCUGCCAAGCCCAGUGUGCCGGCCAGCGCUCAGCCUUCCGUAAAGGGUUCCCCUGCUUCCAACCUCCAUUGCACUGCUUCCCCCAAGACUGACCUUCUGGAAGGCUGGAGCACAACUGCCUCUCAAUAAACGUGUUGCAAAAAAGGAA